UACGGGGGGAGCAAGCGUUGUUCGGAUUUACUGGGCGUAAAGGGCGCGUAGGCGGCCACCGCAAGUCGGUUGUGAAAUCUCUGGGCUUAACCCAGAAAGGUCAACCGAUACUGCGGGGCUAGAGUGCAGAAGGGGCAACUGGAAUUCUCGGUGUAGCGGUGAAAUGCGUAGAUAUCAGGAGGAACACCGGUGGCGAAGGCGGAUCUCUGGGCCUUACCUGACGCUGAGGCGCGAAAGCUAGGGGAGCAAACAGG
rnacentral:rRNA from 1 species